GACAGAGGGUGCAAACGUUGCUCGGAAUCAUUGGGCGUAAAGCGCGUGUAGGCGGCUUGUUACGUCGGGUGUGAAAGCCCGGGGCUCAACCCCGGCAGUGCACCCGAAACGGGGAAGCUGGAGUACUGGAGAGGCGAGUGGAAUUCCUGGUGUAGAGGUGAAAUUCGUAGAUAUCAGGAGGAACACCGGUGGCGAAGGCGACUCGCUGGCCAGUAACUGACGCUGAGACGCGAAAGCGUGGGGAGCAAACAGG
rnacentral:rRNA from 1 species